rnacentral:misc_RNA from 1 species
UCCGGCUUAUCACCGGCAGUUUCUUUAGAGUGCUCAACUAAAUGGUAGCAACUAAAGACGAGGGUUGCGCUCGUUGCGGGACUUAACCCAACAUCUCACGGCACGAGCUGACGACGGCCAUGCAGCAUCUGUGAUACAGCCCCGAAGGGAAACCGGCUUUCACCGGCGGUCCGUACCAUGUCAAGCCCUGGUAAGGUUCUUCGCGUCGCUUCGAAUUAAACCGCACGCUCCGCUGCUUGUGCGGGCCCCCGUCAAUUCCUUUGAGUUUUAGCCUUGCGGCCGUAGUCCCCAGGCGGAGUACUUAUCGCGUUAGCUUCGUUACCGAGGGGGUCGAUACCCCCGACAACUAGUACUCAUCGUUUACGGCGUGGACUAC